rfam:Dictyostelium fasciculatum unplaced genomic scaffold Scf_ET5ZYIE01DZOHE-5, whole genome shotgun sequence.
GGCAUCUUGGGUGAGUGGUUAAGCCGACAGACUUGAAAUCUGUUUCCUUAGGGAGCGCAGGUUCGAACCCUGCAGAUGUCG